rnacentral:rRNA from 1 species
AUUGAACGCUGGCGGCAGGCCUAACACAUGCAAGUCGAACGGUAACAGGAUGAAGCUUGCUUCUUUGCUGUCGCGUGGCGGAGGGGUGUGAAAUGUCUGGGAAACUGCCUGAUGGCGGGGGAUAACUAGUGGAAACGGUAGCUAUAACCGCAUAACGUCGCAAGACCAAAGAGGGGGAGCUUCGGGCACCUUGCCCUCUGGUGUGACCCGAUGGGGUUAGCUAGUAGGUGGGGUAACGGCUCACCUAGGCGACGAUCCCUAGCUGGUCUGAGAGGAUGACCAGCCACACUGGAACUGAGACACGGUCCAGACUCCUACGGGAGGCAGCAGUGGGGAAUAUUGGACAAUGGGCGCAAGCCUGAUGCAGCCAUGCCGCGUGUAUGAAGAAGGCCUUCGGGUUGUAAAGUACUUUCGGCGGGGAGGAAAAGAAUAAAGUUAAUACCUUUGCUCAUUGACGUUACCCGCAGAAGAAGCACCGGCUAACUCCGUG